CCCAAGGCCCCACCUCCUCCCUCAGCGCAGCUUUGCAGGCGCUGGGGCUCCCAAAGGACGGAGCUUUGAAUCCACCUGGGAGGCUUAAGAGAAAGUGCUGAGUCCCCCAUGCCCUACCCCUGAGACUGCUGACAGGCAUCGCUGAGGGCUGCAGCUUUGGAAUCGGGCAUCUUCUGAGGAAGAGAAAGGCACCACAGCCACGGCACAGAAGACUAGUUCUAGGUGCAAUGUUUUAAGGGGAAGACUUACACUAUGAAGCUAGCCCAGAAGAGGGUGACUAGAGUACUGAGGAGUUUCUACCUGGAAGGGCUGUAAGGAAGACAACUGCUAUGUUGUGAGCGGCUCUAUGGAGAGGCCCAUGUGGAGGGAAGUGAGGAAGGCCUCUGGCCAACAGUCCAGGAGGAAGUGAAGCCCUCAGUCCAACAGCCUGUGUGGAACUGAACCCUGCAAACAACUCUGUGUGUGAGCUUGGAAGUGGAUCCAUAUUCAGUCAAACCUUGAGAUGGGACACCAUGCUCUGCUAACACUUGAUUGUGGUCCCAGCUAGGCCACUGCUGAAGUCUUGACUCAGAGAAACGAUGAUAUAGUAAAUGUUUGUUGUUUCAAGUUGGUAAGUUUUGGGAUAAUUUUUUAUAUAGUGAUAAUUUUUUAUAUACUUUAAAAUAACACAUUGCCCUAUCCUUUGGUUACACUUUUCUCUUGGAACUCUGCUUGCCCAUAUAUUACAGAAAUAUUUUUCAGAUCAUGGGCUGAAAGGUGGAUUAUGGAUGCAAUGUUUAAAUUUAGCAAUGUCAUUUAUGACUGUUCAUAUGAGCUUUGCUGCAUAAAAUGUUGAUAUUAAUUUGUUUCCCUUUAAGACAUUCUUAAUGUUUACCUCUCAGUAUUUUCUUUGUAAUCAAUUAAUGUAAGAUGAAUAUAGUUUGUAGGUUUUACCUUUCUUGAUUCGUAUACAAAACACACAACAUCCAACCAUUGUUAUUUAAAGAUUAUCUAGGAGGAGAUGAUGGAAACUCUGUUUUGGGCCACCUUCUUUACACAUUGGGUCUAUUUCCCCUAACUUGAGUAUAUAUUAAACUAGUGGGGGAUUGAGCUACAAAAAUGCUACUUGGUGAGAAUUUUAUUAAUACAAAUACUCAACUCUGAAGUUACGUUUUUGUGGAAAGUUAUCACUUUGGAAUUUGAAUUUUCUUGGAGCUAAGCCACUGGUAGUUGUAAAAGCUACACCUGUAAAUUUGCUCCCUAGAAGAUACUUUCGUUUAGUGACCACUUGUUUCUCUGUGGAUAAAUUCAAUUAUAAAUUACAAUCGAAUUGACGUUUUCAUAGCAUCCUUCACUCUCCAAGUAUCUCAAGUCCUCUGUGAAUUAUAAAGUAAUUACAGUGCUCAAAGGACAGUUUCAUAAUUGUGUCCAUGAGCACAGACUUUCCUCUAUGUUCGAGAAGGGCUCAUUCCCAGCCGGGAACAUUAAGUUGGAUUUUAUUGAGACUGGGGACUGCUAGUCCAGACAGCUGGGUGAUCCCCUGCGCUAUUUUGAAAAGUAUCCUGGGAUCUUUAAUUUCCACCUGGAUGGUCAGGGAGGUGAGAGAACGGCCCUCACUGGGUGUGACCUUGUAUCCCACUUGGGGUCUUGAACCAGGGGACCCCCAACCCCAGAGGUGAGACAUGCAAUAUGGUCAAUUAUACAACCUCUUAAUUAUUUUUUGCUGAAUCUCAAGUGAGUUCUCAUGGCCUGCUCUCUCCCGGGUGGGUUCAGAAGGUGGCCAAGAAGAAAUGUUAGAAAAUUCCCAGAGAGCCAUUUCAUGAGAAUGUUUUCUUUGGUUUAUACCUGAUACUGUUUUGUUUUUGUUGUUGCUUUUUAAUAACUUUUUUUUCUUUUUGUGGGGUCAUUUGCGUAAUACACAGGUGACGAACACUCAAGGUUAUUUGGUCGCAUGCCACCAAAUAACUUUCCUUUGGCACAUCUGCAGUGAAGGAGUCUUUCUGUCUGUCUCCUUUUGUUCCUCAUCAUCUAUUAGCUUGGCACAGCUGACUGAGCUGUUAAAUGAUUACUGCAUAUUUUGUACCUCACCUUGAGAGGCUUUGGUAUAAAAAGGUGCUAAUUAAGCUGAAGCUUCUGGCCCUCUUGCCUAUGUGGGCCCCAGGAAGCGAAGCAAAAAGACUUUAGGGAGCUGGAGCUUGUGUGUGUGUGUGUGUGUGUGUGUGUGUGUGUGUGUGUGUGUGUGUGUGUGUGUGUUUCGUUUUCAGCAUUUUGAGGAAUUGUUACUGGAACUUAUAAAAUAAUUGUUUUAGACCUUAUAAACACAGCAAAUUCUUCAAACUACGUAUGAGGCUGACUCAAAAAGCCACGUAAAGGUAGCUUGGCGAAUCAACUAACUGCUGACCAGUUUGUGGUGAUCGUAAGUCUAUAUAUGCUGGAUUUGGCGAUCGUAAGUCUAUAUAUGCUGGAUUUGAAUAUUUUCUGUAUUUAAAGAAAAAUAAGUACAUUCUAAGAAUAGUUGUCAUCUCCCUCUGUAGACUUGCCCCGUAGAUAUUUGAAAUGGGGAUUAACAUAUUUAAGAGUAGCAGGAAGUGCUAUUUCAUCAGUGUCUAGAAUGGGAGGCGAAUUCAGUCCCUGCCUGGACUUGUUGACUAGCUCGCUGGGUUGUGAAAACCACGGCAUUCUCCUGGGAAUUUGUUCCAGGGCACUGACUGCAUUUCUUCUGAAGCUAAAGCACUUAGCUUUGCUUCCAUGCCUUUUAAUAUAAUUUGUAGGCUUCAGCAGAUUUCUAAAGUACACCACUUGAUAUCUUUCACAGCUCAAGGUAAAUUCUGCAGCACGAACUUAUAGAAUUUUUUUCUUUUACCUGGGGUGAGAACAUACCUUUUCCUAGUGCUAUUUUUUUUUUCUGGGCUACCUUUCAUCUGUUUACAUGAAUUCCACUUCUUCUCGCUGUGUUAAAGAAAUCCCCUAAGCUGUCUACAUAGGUGUGAAACUUUUGGUUGUGAUUUCCUUGAAGUUAGUUGGAACUGGAACAUUUUUUUCUGUGUCCUGAAUGGCUCACACAUUCCCUAACACAGAAUGGAUACUCAGCGAACAGUUGUUGAAUCAGUGAACGGUAAUGGCUCAGUUCUGUCAGACAAUGGAUUGAAUUAUUUUUACACCUUUAAUUCACUCAUGGACUGAAUUAACCUACUCAUGGGCUGUUUGGGGCAUCAAGUGAUAUUUAUACAUUUCUGAAGAAUGUGGAAUCACCAGGGUUAACAGUGUUUGCAGGUGGCGUUCGAUUGCAGGGGCCCAAGGAACCACGGCUGAAUUCCGCAUGGACAUAGGCCAUUUUCCACCAGCAAAGUUAUGAGAACUUUUUUUGUUUUGGUAACUGAUGUGAAAUUUUCAGUUCCGAAUGACAUCCAGAAACUCUCCUUCUGCAGCAGAUGAAUGUUUUGAGGGAAUUUGAGAGGAGGGUUUGUCUUUUAUCUCUCACCUGCACGAGGACACUUGCAGUCUCUUAAGAGAUGUUCUCUUUUUGAAAUGGUGGAAGGACAGAAGCAUCAGCCAGCCCGUUCAUGCUUGGGGACAGAGAGGGAGCUCAGAGCUUAGGGGAGCACAGGUCACUCUAAUGAAUGACAGCUGUAAUAAUAAAGACAUGCCAUCCAUGCUACUUUUUGCAGAAACCAGAAACAUCCUUGUGAAAGUUAAAGGGAAAAGAAAAACGUGUACUUUGAGGGGGGUGUUAACGGGGGACAGGAGGUGGCGACAUAAAAGACUGGUUUAAUGUGUCUCGUUGUAGCCCCUAAGGCUUUACCUGACCCCAUCACUGUCACAACACCUUCUUCGGGACUGACAGUCUUGGUAAUUGAUGGGUUGGUGGGGGCUUUUUUCUGCAAACACAUUAAGGCAGGAGGGAAUACUCUGGCCCCCACCUCCCCACGCCUGGCACGGGGGACCUGGAGGCGAGCAGACACCAGGCCCGGCGGUGUUGGGGGCAGAAGGGAUCAAUUCUGUCAACCAGACUGCCCAGCUACUGUCAGGCACUGGGACCCUUCACCUGCUCCUUGGAGUCAUUAGAACUCCCAAAUCUCUUUGCAGGCCUUUUCUAUUAGACACAUACUCCCAUGUUUUGAUUUUUUGCUCCCAAAGUCAUUUUUUUAAAUAAUUACCUGCAUCGAACCACACUUACCAUCUGUGGGCUGAGAGCGGGCAAAUGAUUUAUUAGUCUUGGUUUCUAACGGUGCUGAGCAGCUUGGGAUCGAUCUUGCUGGUGACACACUCGGCAGAUGCACCGAUGGGUGGGAGGGUCAAUGUCAGGAUGAAGCUUCUUGCGGAGCUGACAUGCACGUGGGGACCCCAGGUGUGGUGUUUAGUUGGUAGACUGUGACAUUGCAAAAGUGGAGUCUCAAGCCAUGGCGGAUAACAGGCGGCAGAAAAAGCAGUGAGGGAGCUUCUUGGGAUGUUUUACUUUAAGUAGAAAGUAAAACUGUGCAUGAAAAGAGGGGACAGAGUAUGCAACCCAAAUCAUCGCCAAGGCUCUUGGUUUCUUCUGUGCACACUGCCUGCCUUGUAUCCAAGCGUUUGACUGUGCAGAGGCCAGUCAUACUGGGGGACCCUGAGCACUACCCUUGGCAUUUGGGUAUAUCCUGAUCAAUAUAGCCAUUUCCACUGCUUGACAUUAUGUUUUGGGGGCUAGUUUUUUAAAGAUCAAUGAUUGAAUUGCUGCUCGGCUGAUUGGAUAUGUCUUCUCGGAGACUCACCUGUCCUCCCCGAAGAGAUGCUGACUACACAACAGCAGUCACUGUGCUGGGCACACGGGCAGUGUUCAGGAGACGUGGCUUCCUUUCUUCUUCUUUCAUUUCUUCCUGCCCAGAACAGCAAGGCUGAGACUGAUAAUAAAAUUCCUGGAACAUGGAGAAACUCAUGUGGGGAGAAAAGAAGAAAUGUAUUGUGACUUCCAUGGGCUUUUGGCACUUUUGGACCUCCCUCCUCCUCUUUUCCAUAAAAAAUGUAUUUUAAGACAUAUUGGUAUAAAGAUGAGAUUAUUCAUAGUACAUAUUAAAAUGUUUUCCCCUACCUAAAAGUUUGUGGUUUUAUUGUCUUCUUGUUUUUAAAAUAAAUUAAAAUAUUUUCAAAGGCCGUUAGAAGAACCGUGGGCCCUGGGCUUGGUGCCUGCUGUGCCUCAUAAAUCAGGCCUGGAGAAGAGACAUCAGUGACAUUUUAGUGUCAGGUAGAAAAUGUAAAAUAUCAUGAUUGUUUUCCAAUGAUAUACUAAGUAAGACACAUAAGAUGUGUUUUAAUUUUUUUCUUGAUGUAUGCUGUUGUCUUUUAGUUAUAAAUGCUGAGUACUGUUAAAAGAUAAACUGAGGCACAAUAAAAUUUGAAGAGUUUAUUUGAGCAAACAAUGAUUUGUUACCGAAACACCAGGGGUUCAUCUGGGUCCUGCUGCUUGCCACACAGAAAGCCAAUCACUGAG
rnacentral:lncRNA from 1 species